rnacentral:rRNA from 1 species
GACGAACGCUGGCGGCGUGCUUAACACAUGCAAGUCGAACGGAAAGGCCCUGCUUUCGUGGGGUGCUCGAGUGGCGAACGGGUGAGUAACACGUGAGUAACCUGCCCUUGACUUUGGGAUAACUUCAGGAAACUGGGGCUAAUACCGGAUAGGAGCUCCUGCUGCAUGGUGGGGGUUGGAAAGUUUCGGCGGUUGGGGUUGGACUCGCGGCUUAUCAGCUUGUUGGUGGGGUAGUGGCUUACCAAGGCUUUGACGGGUAGCCGGCCUGAGAGGGUGACCGGCCACAUUGGGACUGAGCGACGGCCCAGACUCCUACGGGAGGCAGCAGUGGGGAAUAUUGCACAAUGGGCGGAAGCCUGAUGCAGCAACGCCGCGUGCGGGAUGACGGCCUUCGGGUUGUAAACCGCUUUCGCCUGUGACGAAGCGUGAGUGACGGUAAUGGGUAAAGAAGCACCGGCUAACUACGUG